UACGUAGGGUGCGAGCGUUUGUCCGGAAUUACUGGGCGUAAAGAGCUCGUAGGUGGUUUGUCGCGUUGUUCGUGAAAACUCACAGCUUAACUGUGGGCGUGCGGGCGAUACGGGCAGACUGGAGUACUGCAGGGGAGACUGGAAUUCCUGGUGUAGCGGUGGAAUGCGCAGAUAUCAGGGAGGGAACACCGGUGGGCGAAGGCGGGUCUCUGGGCAG
rnacentral:rRNA from 1 species